GGGGAGCGUGGAGUGGGUGCGGGAGUGGGAGCGGGCAACGCAACGGCUAACAAGCCAUGCCCCAAGGGACGCGCUUUCUUGCAGUUGCAACAUCCUUACCUUAGCUGGAAACGCAAGCAAACUCGAGUAUAAUUGAAGAUCUCCACUGCAUUCAGCCAUAAAUUGAAAAUCGUUUAGAAAAUUAAAGAAAUGAGUCUCGAACUGAGCUCGAAGAAGCGACUCCUUGUCCAUGGCU